rnacentral:rRNA from 1 species
UACGUAGGUAGCAAGCGUUGUCCGGAAUCAUUGGGCGUAAAGCGCGCGUAGGCGGCCCGGUAAGUCCGCUCUGAAAGUCCAGGGCUCAACCCUGGAAAGCGGGUGGAUACUGCCGGGCUAGAAUCCGGAAGAGGCGAGUGGAAUUCCUGGUGUAGCGGUGGAAUGCGCAGAUAUCAGGAGGAACACCAAUAGCGAAGGCAGCUCGCUGGGACGGUAUUGACGCUAAGGCGCGAAAGCGUGGGGAGCAAACAGG